UGCCCCUGUACACCAUGCCCAGCACAAAAGCAAGCACUUCAUAAGCAUCAUCUCACAGUCACGGAGAAUCAGAAUCUUUCUUGGGACUCUACUUGCCUACAAGACACUGUGAUGAUUGUUCCAAGGACUGACAAUGAGCAGUGUGCAUUUUCCUGAGUAGAGCCACAAAUGCAAACUGGUUACUGGGCUCAGAGAGACAAUGGAUCAGCUCAGGACCAGGUUUACUUCUUAGAAGGAAGAGUUCCCAGAAAAAAUUGAUUCACUCAUUCAAGUAAGAUCUGGAACGCCUGUAAGGAAUGGAGACUGCUCCGUGCUGGGGUUCCAGGGAUGAACCGGGCAGAGAUGGUCCUGCUGUCAGUCUUCUGUUUCUAAACAGACCCAGUAAGAACUGAGGAAGCAGGCAGUUGAAGCUGCGGAUCCUCUCAAAGCCAGGACACAAUCAAAUUGAAACGGGGACCAGGAAGGUCUCUGGGAGAGGGAUGAGUCAUGGGAGUGGAGGACUGUCAGUAAAGGGGAGCGGCCGAGUGGAUCUGACAUGGCCGCGGGAGAUGUGCUGUGUCCCCGAGCCACCACCCAUCCAUGUGCCCACCUGCUGCAGUGUCCACCCAGGAGCCGCUGGUCCAUGUAGCACCUUCAAGAGACUGUGAGGGCCUGGGCCUGACGCAGAAGGAAGCAGGGAAGAGUUUCUCCAGUUUCCUCCUGCUGAAAUGGGAACAAUGGAAAGAGAAGAUGAGGCAGGUACCUCGAGACUGGGAAGACUGAGGUUACUGCCGCCGGUUGCCGUGGUGAGUUUCAGAUUCUGCACCCUGGACACAAAUUUCACAAGGUCCAUCUCAAGCUGGUUUAAGGUAUCGAACAUAUAGUCUUUGUUGGGGGAAGCCUUUUUAUUUUUCUUUCCCGAAGAGGCAAGUGAACCACCUGGAAGGGCAGGAAGAGUCUGCACAGUACUCUCGUCACUGUCUCCUGGAAACUUCUGUAUCACAAACAGCACAACGAGGAGAAAAAACCAGGGCAACUUGCUGCCAAGCCAGCCUCGGUCAUGCUCUGGUAGAUUCUGCUGAAUUCGAAAGUGCCUUCCGCAGGGCACCUUCCCGGGGAGCUCUAUGGUGUCAUCUCUCAGACAGAAGAACACAAAGGCACAGAAGGAGGACACACACAUAGACCAGAAAAAGAACCACAUCACAGACCGCAUGGCUCUGGAGAAUGAGCAGCCAUAUGGACCCAGUGCUCAAGGAGCUUAACUUACAUUCAAGUGAAAGGUGAACACAAAGAUAAGACAACUGAACGCAUAUGUUCAUCUAAGUUGAGAAGACUGCCACGGAAGCUGGCUAAAGGCUGAGCUAAAGAUGCACAGCUCACCCUGCAGAGCUCUGUCUCUUGGAGGAAAGAGGUCUAGUCUGAGAUCUGAAAGCUGCUACUAGAGGUUGAAUUGUACCUGCCCACCCCUCAAGAUCUGUCAAAGGCCCAACACCUAGUACCUGUGAAAGUCACCUUGUUUGGAAAUAGGGUUGUGAUAGAAACAGUUAAAAUGAGGUCAUACUGGAGUGGGACUUCCCUGGUGAUCCAGUGGCUAGUUGGGUUUCCCAGGUGGUGCAGCAGUAAAGAAUCCGCCUGCCAAUGAAGGAGACACAAGAGAUGCCACUUCAAUCCCUGGGUUAGGAAGAUCCCCAGGAGGAGGAAAUGGCAAUCCACUCCAGUAUUCUUGCCUGGAAAAUUCCACGGACAGAGGGGCCUGGCAGGCUACAGUCUCUGGGGUUGCAAAGAGUCAGAUGCAACUGAACACACAAGCUGGAGUAGAAUGGGCCUUCACUCAUUAUGACGUAUCCUUAGGAAAAGAGACAAUCGCAAAGGAAAGUGCCAUGAGAAGAUGGAGGCAGAGGACUUCCUUGAUUGUCCAGUGCUUAAGAAUCCACCUGCCAAUGCAGGGGACACCAGUUUCACCCCUGGUCGAGGAAGAUUCCACAUGCUACAGGGCAACUAAGCCUGCAUGCCACAACUAUCAAGCCUGUGCAUUCUAGGGCCAGUGCUCUGCAACAUGAGAAGCCCAUGCACUAGAGAAAGCACAUGUGUAGCCACAAAGACCCAGCACAGUCAAAAAUAAGUAAAUAAAAUUUUUAAAAAAUGAAGAUGGAGGCAGAGGCCAGAGCGAUGCAGCUACAAGCCAAGGACUGCAGGUGACACGAGAAGUUGUACCAGACAAGGAAGGAAGCUCCUCUUUAGGUUUCUAAAGGAAUGUAACUCUGCCAACAUUCUGAUUUUGGACUUCCUACUUCCAGAACUCUGAGAGACGAAAUUGCUGUUUUAAGUCACUCAGUUUUCAGUCAUUUGUUUCAGCAGCUCUAAGAAACCAAUACCAGUGCAAAGGAGCUAGGCACACAGAGAAUGAAGGCAGAGGGUCCCAGGGCUGCAGAUACAGCAUUUGCAAUGUCUCUAAGGAGGCAGAAACCUCAGCAAAUGCAAGGAACCAAGACAAAGCUUAGGAGGUGCAGCUCUGCCAGGAACAAGUUCCACCGGGGAAUUUGUCUGUACGCUUGUGAUAGUGAUGGGACUUAUGAAGGGUGGUCAGCCGGAGAACAGCAGAACAUGCCUGGUGAGAAGGGAUGGAGGGAGCUGGAGCCCACAACCUCAUCAGGAGGUUGGUGACCCAUGGCUUGACAUGGGGCAGUGAGAGGAUGGUGGUGCUGGGUUCUGGAGUAAAUAAGUAGACCAGGAGUGGAUCAGGUUUGGGCAGGCAGAAAGGAAAGGAAACACACGUAUGACUAAAUUUUAGAUAAAUGCUUUAGUGAAAUUAGUUUUCAGGCUGGUGGGUGGUGAUGCUCUUCAUGAGCAGGUGAAAAUUGGGGAGGAAAAGGUUCAGGUGGGGUAUGAACACCACAGGUUUGCUGAACUGAUGUGACUUGGCUCAGUCUUUGCUUUUACUCAUCAAACUUGGCAUCAGGUGACUUGGCCGAUUCCAAAAUUCAAGUCCCCUUGUCCUCCUGAAAAGGGUUGCAGGAAUCCCUGUAGCAGAUAUCAGGAGAGCCUCUUGCCUCCAAAAGGAGUUUCAAUGACGUCGUUCCAAAGGGCGUGAUCAUUUGACUAAUCCUUGCACUUUGAAGAGGAAACACCCUUGGAAUACCUAAGUUCUGGUGUCUUUGUAAAAACAGUAGAUCUCAUUUCUUCAAAGCCAGACCUCCUUGAGUCCAGAUGUAGAAAGAUCGUGUCAGAGCACUUCGUAAAUAUGCCUCACUACAUUAUCAAAGACUGCUUAAAAAUAAAUAAUAAAUGUAUUUUCCCAUUCCCAUUUAAUGAGGACCUUUUUAAGUUAACCAUGAGCUAAGAGUCUCAUGAUUGAAGCAACGUGUAACUAGAAGUUCGUAACCAUCAUGCCAAUGGCAUUUUCAGCUUGUGACUCGGUUUUUCUCAGACUUUGGAUGAUGCUUAUGAUCAUAGAAAAACAGAUUAGCUUUUGUGAUGGUUAUUUUUAUAUGAAAUGCUCUGUACUAUAAGGCUGGGGAAAAUGACUAUAAAUACAGUGUUUGGGAUGGCAAUCAAAAGGCAGAGGUAACAACAUUGUAAAUUACCUAUAUGUCAAUAAAAAAUUAAAAUAAAAUAAAUAACCAUUAAAGACAUACUGUACAGAACAUAGAACUAUAUGUAAUAUUUUGUAAUAAUCUAUAAGGAAAAAGAAUCUAAAAACAAAUGUAUAUAUAAUAAAUGUAUAAAAAACUAAAUCACUUUUCUGUACGCCUGGAACUGACACAACAUUAUAAAUCAACUAUACUUCGAUUGAAAAUAAAAUA